AAUAAGCGGAGGAAAAAAAACCAACAGGGAUUGCCUUAGUAACGGCGAGUGAAGCGGCAAAAGCUCAAAUUUGAAAUCUGGCACCUUCGGUGUCCGAGUUGUAAUUUGAAGAAGGUAACUUUGGAGUUGGCUCUUGUCUAUGUUCCUUGGAACAGGACGUCACAGAGGGUGAGAAUCCCGUGCGAUGAGAUGCCCAAUUCUAUGUAAAGUGCUUUCGAAGAGUCGAGUUGUUUGGGAAUGCAGCUCUAAGUGGGUGGUAAAUUCCAUCUAAAGCUAAAUAUUGGCGAGAGACCGAUAGCGAACAAGUACAGUGAUGGAAAGAUGAAAAGAACUUUGAAAAGAGAGUGAAAAAGUACGUGAAAUUGUUGAAAGGGAAGGGCUUGAGAUCAGACUUGGUAUUUUGCGAUCCUUUCCUUCUUGGUUGGGUUCCUCGCAGCUUACUGGGCCAGCAUCGGUUUGGAUGGUAGGAUAAUGACUAAGGAAUGUGGCUCUACUUCGGUGGAGUGUUAUAGCCUUGGUUGAUACUGCCUGUCUAGACCGAGGACUGCGUCUUUUGACUAGGAUGUUGGCAUAAUGAUCUUAAGCCACCCGUCUUGAAACACG
rnacentral:rRNA from 1 species